GACAGAGGGUGCAAACGUUGCUCGGAAUCACUGGGCGUAAAGGGUGCGUAGGCGGGUCUUUAAGUCAGGGGUGAAAUCCUGGAGCUCAACUCCAGAACUGCCUUUGAUACUGAAGAUCUUGAGUUCGGGAGAGGUGAGUGGAACUGCGAGUGUAGAGGUGAAAUUCGUAGAUAUUCGCAAGAACACCAGUGGCGAAGGCGGCUCACUGGCCCGGUACUGACGCUGAGGUGCGAAAGCGUGGGGAGCAAACAGG
rnacentral:rRNA from 1 species